rnacentral:rRNA from 1 species
UAGCUUGAAUGGAGCUAUUGGCUUUGAAUUGUAUUGUGGAAAUGUAUUACCAACAGAGGUGCAGGUGCCAGCCUAUUGAAAUAAAGCGUCAAUGAGGGUGAGAAUCCUGUUUGUCAUGUGCAGCCCUUUGUGCACGGUGUAUAUUUGCUGAGUCACACUCCUUGGCAUUGGAAUGCAAAGUGGGUGGUAAGUUUCAUGUAAAGGUAAACAUGCAAUUGAGACUGAUAGCACACAAGUACCAUGAGGGAAAUAUGAAAAGGACUUUGAGAAUUAGAUUUGUAUUUGCUGAACACAAAGUAAACAGACUUGAUUUGCUUGGUGGGAGUGUUGCACUUGCUUGACAAGAGCUUUGGGCUGUGGGUGUAAUGAUUCUUUCUUUGCAUGCCAGUUUCUAUUUGUACAUCUGAUUACCUUUGCACAUGAAUGAUAAGUCUCCUGUGGGGGUGGAUUGCAUGUGCAUGUAAUGAUUUGGUUGAUAAUGUCUGGU